UACGUAGGGUGCGAGCGUUGUCCGGAAUUAUUGGGCGUAAAGAGCUCGUAGGCGGCUUGUCGCGUCGGAUGUGAAAGCCCGGGGCUUAACUCCGGGUCUGCAUUCGAUACGGGCAGGCUAGAGUUCGGUAGGGGAGAUCGGAAUUCCUGGUGUAGCGGUGAAAUGCGCAGAUAUCAGGAGGAACACCGGUGGCGAAGGCGGGUCUCUGGGCCAAUACUGACGCUGAGGAGCGAAAGCGUGGGGAGCGAACAGG
rnacentral:rRNA from 1 species